UACGGAGGGAGCUAGCGUUGUUCGGAAUUACUGGGCGUAAAGCGCACGUAGGCGGCGAUUCAAGUCAGAGGUGAAAGCCCGGGGCUCAACCCCGGACUGCCUUUGUAAACUAGAUUGCUAGAAUCCUGGAGAGGUUAGUGGAAUUCCAGUGUAGAGGUGAAAUUCGUAGAUAUUGGAAGAACACCGUGUGACGACGGCGACUACUGGACGACGAUUGACGCUGAGGUGCGAAAGCGUGGGGAGCAAACAGGAUUAGAUA
rnacentral:rRNA from 1 species